rnacentral:rRNA from 1 species
GACGAACGCUGGCGGCGUGCUUAACACAUGCAAGUCGAACGGAAAGGCCUUGCUUUUGUGGGGUGCUCGAGUGGCGAACGGGUGAGUAACACGUGAGUAACCUGCCCUCGACUUUGGGAUAACUUCAGGAAACUGGGGCUAAUACCGGAUAGGAGCUCCUGCUGCAUGGUGGGGGUUGGAAAGUUUCGGCGGUUGGGGAUGGACUCGCGGCUUAUCAGCUUGUUGGUGGGGUAGUGGCUUACCAAGGCUUUGACGGGUAGCCGGCCUGAGAGGGUGACCGGCCACAUUGGGACUGAGAUACGGCCCAGACUCCUACGGGAGGCAGCAGUGGGGAAUAUUGCACAAUGGGCGGAAGCCUGAUGCAGCAACGCCGCGUGCGGGAUGACGGCCUUCGGGUUGUAAACCGCUUUCGCCUGUGACGAAGCGUGAGUGACGGUAAUGGGUAAAGAAGCACCGGCUAACUACGUG